GGCAGCCUCGAUAGAAAUUAUAAAGGCACGUCAGCAAGUCUAUGCUUGCCGUUAGUGACGCACAUUAUAGGUUUCUGUAUGUAGAACUUGGCCAUCAUGGGAGCGAGAGCGACGGAGGCAUAUUUUCACGCAGCAAGCUUCAGGAGCGGCUGCUGCAAGGCCAGAUGGGCGUGCCACCAGACCAAAACGUUGGGAUAGAGGGGACUUGCUUUUUUUGUUGGUGAUGAGGCAUUUCCACUGAAAAUCUACAUGAUGCGGCCCUUUUCAAGAAAAGCGGAUUCGCGGGUUGAUGAGGCUCAUGCCGGGUGCCGGGUCGCCCAUGACGGAGGGGCGCGGAGCCGCGGGGCGGCAGUCACCCCGAG